rnacentral:rRNA from 1 species
CCCUUAGAUGUUCUGGGCCGCACGCGCGCUACACUGACGAAUGCAACGAGCUUAUAACCUUGGCCGAAAGGUCUGGGUAAUCUCCAAAUUUCGUCGUGAUGGGGAUAGAUUAUUGCAAUUAUUAAUCUUCAACGAGGAAUGCCUAGUAAGCGCAAGUCAUCAGCUUGCAUUGAUUACGUCCCUGCCCUUUGUACACACCGCCCGUCGCACCUACCGAUUGAAUGGUCCGGUGAAAUCCUCGGAUCGAGCCGUGGGGCAACUCCGGUUCGAGAAGUUGAUUAAACCUUACCAUUUAGAGGAAGGUGAAGUCGUAACA